UACGAAGGGGGCUAGCGUUGCUCGGAAUCACUGGGCGUAAAGGGUGCGUAGGCGGGUCUUUAAGUCAGGGGUGAAAUCCUGGAGCUCAACUCCAGAACUGCCUUUGAUACUGAAGAUCUUGAGUUCGGGAGAGGUGAGUGGAACUGCGAGUGUAGAGGUGAAAUUCGCAGAUAUUCGCAAGAACACCAGUGGCGAAGGCGGCUCACUGGCCCGAUACUGACGCUGAGGCACGAAAGCGUGGGGAGCAAACAGG
rnacentral:rRNA from 1 species